rnacentral:rRNA from 1 species
GAUGAACGCUGGCGGCGUGCCUAAUACGUGCAAGUCGAGCGAACAGACGAGGAGCUUGCUCCUCUGACGUUAGCGGCGGACGGGUGAGUAACACGUGGAUAACCUACCUAUAAGACUGGGAUAACUUCGGGAAACCGGAGCUAAUACCGGAUAAUAUAUUGAACCGCAUGGUUCAAUAGUGAAAGACGGUUUUGCUGUCACUUAUAGAUGGAUCCGCGCCGCAUUAGCUAGUUGGUAAGGUAACGGCUUACCAAGGCAACGAUGCGUAGCCGACCUGAGAGGGUGAUCGGCCACACUGGAACUGAGACACGGUCCAGACUCCUACGGGAGGCAGCAGUAGGGAAUCUUCCGCAAUGGGCGAAAGCCUGACGGAGCAACGCCGUGUGAGUGAUGAAGGUCUUCGGAUCGUAAAACUCUGUUAUUAGGGAAGAACAAAUGUGUAAGUAACUAUGCACGUCUUGACGGUACCUAAUCAGAAAGCCACGGCUAACUACGUG